rnacentral:lncRNA from 1 species
AAAAUUCGGUUCCUCUUAUUGACGGCGAAUUUGUUCUUCAUUCAUCGCCGAUCUGGUAAGCCGUUUUCUCUUCAUUCAUGGCAUACAUUCCGAUGAAGGAACGAUUCUAGUGGUAGCUCUGAAAUUAGGGUUUUAUGUUGAAAAUUUGAAAUAGUAUGAUGUGGGUUAAUUUUUCAAUUCGAUUUCUCUCUGUCGUCUGUAAUGAAACACAAAAGAGUAUGAAAAACGCGUCGACAUUACUGGUAUCGACGGCUUCGUGUGCUCUUCGUUCGCCGGAAGUUUUGUAAAAAAAAACGAUUCUUUUCUUGAAUUGAUGAAAUUUCCCUAUUUUUGCAAUUUCUUGUAUAUUGGGGGUUUUGGGUGUUGGAGGCGACGGGCUGCAGGCAACGAGAGGGUUGAUAUAUUAUAACACCUUAAUUGUUGAAAUACUUUGAGUUGAUUUUGUUGGAGUUGUUGCGAGCUGCAUUUGGGGGGAAGUGGUUUCCAAUGUGUUUAUGCAGAAGGAAUAUGAGAGAAUGGUGAUGGCACUUUGUUUGUAAUAGGAUGAUUUUGUUUGUGAAAAUUAAGAAUUUGUUUUUUUUGGUUAUGUGAAGCUAUGUAUGCUCUGUUUAGAAGCUUAUUUGAUGGGACUGUAUUUUCAAUUCCGGUGGAAAUUGAGUUGGGAAUUUGUUAACUUUGGAAUUAGAAACGAUAGAGCUGAACUAUUGAUGAGAUGUUUGGAUGAGAAUUAAUUGGGUUGUGUAUGGAGAAGGGGGUUGCAUUUUUGAGAGUGUAGGUUGAAGGGCAUAUUUCGUGGGUUUCAGGCUAUUUUUCUGUAAUUCAUUCAUAAUUUGAUUUGGUUUUGCAGUGAAUGAAUCAGCUCAAGAACAUGUGUCGUCUGCUGAGAAACAUAUUCCAGAGGGUGGCGCUAUUACUGAAAAUGGAAAAUUCUAUCGUGCCACUGCUUCAAUGCAGCUUGCACCGUUAUGAUUGAGACACGUGUAAUGUCAAAAAAAAGAAAAAAAGAGGUAACCGUGGUUUGGCUGGCUGCCCGAGGAAAAAAUUGCAGAAAUUUUCACCCGAAGAAGAAAUUGGAUCCCUGUCUGAGAUACGUCGAGAAAUUUUGGCCGAGAGCAACAUUGUUCAACGGCGAAUUUGGCGCUGAAUCCGAAUAUGUUUUCAGAUUCAAGAACGAUGGCGUAUAGAAGAAGUGCCUGAGAGUUUCGGUGAGGCGAUCACUGUUUCGGCGAAGGGCUCUCGAUAUUUGCGCCAGAUUUUUCAACGGGAACAUGAUGGUGAGUCGGAAAAAUAGUUUCUGAAUUAUUGUAUUUUUGUAUUUUGUUCGAAAUGGUGUUUUAUGUUUGAAUUUGUUAUUUUAUAAUGAAUUUGUUUCCAAUAAUUGGUCCUUCUUCGUCUUCUUGAGUGCAUCGCCGUGGUGGAGGUGCCUCUUUCGCCUCUCCUUCUCUCUGCCGACCUCACCUACUCCGAUUUCCUCAAUCCCUCUUUUCUCUCUCUAAAGAUCCAAUUUUGCUCAAGGGUUUUUGAUUGUGUAGCGUUCCAGCCGUUAGCUCGUUAGUAUUUCGAAGGUGCUGAUCUCGGCUUUCGUUUUGAUGCCUCUCUUCGCAAUUUACACUAUGAUGUACUGAAUCGUUGGUCUGGCGGUUUGCUUAUUUUGAUGGUAGUUUGAAUUGAAUAUUGGUUGAUGAUUUUCUGAAACUCGUGUAUAGGUUUAAUGUGUGCUUUUCUAGUCAACGAACAGGAAAUUUCUAUCUUACCUUUAUGGGAAUUCUCUUAUUCAACUUUUUGCAUGUCUUCUUUGCAACAUUAAAGACACUCUUGAAUCCCUUGAAGCGCAGCUGUCUUCUUUGCAGGUUCUAUUUCUGUAACAUUUUCAUUAUUUUAGGUUUUGGUAUAGUGAUUUGGGGGUUUACUAGGUGGACCUUAAUGUGGAUUCUUGGAAGUUUUCAGUUGGUUUUUCGUUUCUUGUAUCAAUUUAGAAACUGGCAAUUCUAGGAUUUUGCGAAUACUAGUAAUCGAGUUUGUUAUUCUUGAAUGGCUAAUUAUAUUUGAAGAAUUAGUUUAAGGGUAUUCUAGAUAGCUCUUGAUCUUGAAAUUUUCGAGAUGGGGUUUUGUUUCUUUGAAUGAAUUAGGAUGCUGGCUAUUCUAUGAUGAUUUACCAAUAGUUGGUUUUGUGAAGGGUUUAAUAUUUUCAUGAAUUAGGUGUAUUUUUGGUGGAAGUAUAAAAUUCAUCCAUUGGUUUGGUACUGACUGGCUUGGUUUUGCUAACCAUAGAUGUUCGUCGUUGAGAUUCUCUGCUUGAUGGUUUUAGAGGUUUUGUAACUGUUUAUUCGUUUUCCAUUUUCCCAUAUCCUUCAUCACAUGAAAAGUUUAGGAACAUGUGAGAUAUCUCAUAAAAGGUGUUGCAGUCAUUAACUUGCAUUAAGUGAAGUUGGGACUUGGGAAGAUACUCGCGUCACAUAUAUGAGACGGCUGAAGUACUUAAUGGUCGGUUUGGCCAAAACCAAGCUGAACCAAGAUCUUUCAGUUUGUCGGUUGGUUUAUUGGUUAAUCAAAGAGCAAUAAAUAUCCUCAAUGAAGAUUGGUUUAUUGGUUCAUCAUCUCUAUGAAUACGUUUUUGCAUGUAAUCAGCUCUAUGAUUACAUUGUUGCAUGCCAUCAACUUCUUGCAUGUUUUUGGAUUAUUUGAAUGUGCUAACUUAUGCAACUUGUAAAAUAUGGUGGUGGUGUAUUUGAGUUCUAUCCUUUGUCCACUUUUACUUGUUCUCCACAGUGAUUAGUCUUAAAUUUAGAUUUAGAAUUUAUAUUUAAGUAAUCUUGUUUUCUUUGAUUCAGCAGUCGUUUGGAGUUCACUGGUGUCCUUUCAGUGGUUUGACUAGGCUUCCAUCAUCUUUUGAGUAAGCCUCUUCUAACCUUAUGAGUUAAUUGUUGACGAGUCUCGACUUUUGAAGUAUGUCUAUUUUUGGUGUUCAAGUACAGGUGGUACCUCUUUUUAACCACUUUUAGAUUCCAUUUUCUUUUGAAUGUUUGUUAUCUAUGCUAUUUGUUCUAGCUGGGAACUGGUAGCACACGAGUGUACUAUAACUGGAUUUUAUGGAGUCGGGAAUAUGAUUUUAUAGUUCCUGAAAGAGCAUGUUGGUUGUUGGCUAUGAGAAUGAUGAACUUUUGCUAUGUUAAAAUCACUAGUGACUGGAAUAACCAUAUCUUUUGAAUGACAUUUGUGCCUGUACUAGAUUUUAUGAAACCUUUAGUGAAUUAUAUCUAUUUCAGUUAGGCUUGUGUUCGCAGAAUUUCCUUCAGCCGAUUUUCUGCCAGCUCUAUAUGUUCUGCUUUUUAAAAAGGUUCUGGAAAUCUUCAUAUAUUGAACACACCUACUAUUGCAUAUAGUAUGGUUCUCGCUUUCUCAUGUAGUUGGAAUAUUUAUCUACAAUUGGAACAUGCUGAUAUGUAUAAUCUUAAUAUGUCAUUGCAGAUGUACUAACAUUCUUCAUUCUUGUCAAUCCAAUAAAUUGUGUCAGUAUUAUGGCGGAUGCUAGAGACUAUUCAAUCUCAAUUUCUGUAGAUUUGACCUUGCAUCUCUUUCAUUAAUGUUACAUUGUUGGUUGUCAGUUCAUCUGUAAUCUUCUGUGUAGCUACUUGGCUAACAGGCUUUGGUUAUUUGUUUUUAUUGCAGUGAAGGGAAUUCCCAUCAAGUGCGUGUAAGAUUUCAUUCCUCAAGUAACUGUUAUUCUGUUAAGGCUUAUUUUGAAGUUUGUAAUAAUAGGAUGGUGAUUUGUUUUGUAGAUCAUGACCUUCUCGGACAUCAUGCUAUCUUUGCGGAACAUACACCCGUCUCCUCUACAUCUCAUCCUUGUCCAUAUAUUGCAUAUUUUGGGCCAAUCCAUCCAUCUUCUUCCACAUCAAGUGGGAAUGUAUCUGAUGGGUCUAGUUUUAGUAAUCACUGGAGUGGGCUGUCUGCUCCAAGUGAAGUACCGAACUCGUAUGCUUUCCCUUCAAUGGAUGCCCAUUAUCUCAGUGUGCUUGCUUGAACUUGAACUAUAACUCAUCUUUGUGCAUCAUUAUGUGCAGACUCUUAUUACGUUGUUGCAACGUGUUAGGGAACUACAUGAAGUUUUACAAUGCAAUAAAAUGGGCCUAUCCAGAUAUCAAUGUUUGCUUAUCCGUUUUCUGGAACUCACACACUUGAAAUAUGGCUUUAUUUCUCUAACCUUGGAUCCAUUUGGACCAUUUCUUCUUUUCAAGUACGAGGCCUUUGAUCGCUUCCUAUUUUCCUAUUCAGGCACUGCAGCAGCAACAAUGGUACGAAAAAGAAGCAGCCUUGGCUGAAAUCGAAUACAGCCAGAAGAAGUUGCUCAAAGAGCUGAAGGUAUACAAAGGCAAGGACUUGGAAGUCAUACAUGAGGCAGUGGCUUUUGCCAGCGAAACGGAGGACAACAACGAUCUCCUUCUCCNACCUCAAGAAAUGGACCAAAGGUGUUUUGAGGAGUCUCUUCGCUGUCUACUUCCUCGUCUGCAGAGGUUUCUCACCCGUGUUCCCGACCAUAUUUCAGGCUUUUGUGAGCGAGUACGCUGUGACAGGAGGCGAAGCUGGCAGGGGAAAUCUGCUGAAAGCACUAGCUGAGGCCGGUUUCCUUAUAGGCCUAGAGAGAAACAGGUAACCACGCACCUCUUCUUCGUCUGCCUCUGCUGGUCUGAUUCAUUUUCUUGCAGCGACGCUGUUGAGAUGGCGAGCAGUGCGCCUUUGUUUGUGAAUGACAACAAUCGGAGGUUCAAUCCAGAUGCAAUAGUUUUCGACUCUUCAAAAGUGUACGGCACGCCUACCUACUGGAUGCAGCACUUGUUCAAGGACUCAAACGGCGCCACCCUUCUUGAUUCCACGCUGCAAUCGCCUUCCUCUUCCCUCACCGCGUCCGCCAUUUCUUGGACUGAUGCAGACAGCAGCAGAAGCUACAUCAGAGUAAAGGUGAGACCAGUUUCCCCACACUCCAAAUUGAGUAAAUGAUGUUUCUCAUCUCUUGAGACUUUGUUGUGCAGGUUGUCAACUUUGGAGGCAACACAGUGAAUCUGGAUCUUUCUGUUGAAGGAUUGGACAACAAGUCUAUAGAAACAGCAGGGUCUACAUUGACUACACUAACAUCCACUAAUGUCAAGGAUGAAAAUUCCUUCAAUGAGCCCAAAAAGGUAACUUUUUAUAUUAUGAUUCUAUUCGAUAAUAUAUACUACUCCCUCCGUCCCAACAAAAGCGGUGCAUAUUCCUUUUUUAGCCGUCCCAACGAAAGUGGUGCAUUUCCUUUUUUUGGUAAUAAUUUUACAUUACAAUGUAGCCCACACACUUUUACCCUACAAUCUUAUUCUUCUUAAAUCUCGUGUCGAAAAGAAGCGCAUCGCUUUCGUCAGGAUGGAGGGAGUAGUAUUUUUUAAACUGAUUUUAAUAAUGAUAGUUAUUGCCAGUAACAAGUGUUCUACUUAUUUUUGCAGGUUGCCCCUGUUGUAAAAGCACUAAAAAAUGCCAGCAACAAAAUGAGAGUUAUUAUACCUCCAUCUUCUUUAAUUUCAACUGAUUUGCAGCUAAAAUCAAAUGUUAUUCAGGUUGCAGGAUCUAUUGGUGCACAUGCAUCACUGUAACUUGUAGCAUUCAAUAUAAUAGUAUCACGUAGUAUUUGAGAGUAUCAAUUACAAAGAAGUCUAUGAAUAUCUGGAAAAAAGAAUCAAUUUUAUUUCCUAGAUGAUAUUUAUAUAGCAGCAAUUUCUUACCUGAGUACUGAAUGUAGCAAAGCGCACAAAAGAGGAAUUACAACAAAUUACUAAGUUUUGUACAAAUUCAGAGUGUAGAUGAUCUCAGUUGACAAUAAAACUUGGUACACUUAAAAGGGAAAAUACAGAAAACUGUAAAUAUGUUCUAUCAAGUUUAUAGACUGUUAAAUUUCAGUUCCUUGGCGACGAACUCGCAAGAUCGCUGCAUGCAGAUUAUCAACAAGACUUCAAAAGACAAAAAUCUCUGCAUAACCUGAAAUCAGAAGCCAAACUUCAGAACUUCUACAGGAAAAACUGGAGCAACAAAAUCAUCAAUUUUGAAUAGCUAUACUAACCGUAAUUUUGCUUGGGCACAACCACUCAGCUCUGGUAAUUUACAUUUUGACUUCUCUGGUUCAUCUCUACAGUUUGGAUCAAAAGUUGAAGAGAUUGAUGAAUCAGAUUUCGACUUUGCAAUAGCAAAAGAAUUCGUACACCUACCAUCUUUUCAAGAGGAGCAGAAAUACUAUAGCGGGAAAUUAGUAUAAACUCAUACCUUAACUAUGGUAGAAUAUUUGAACGGAAUAUGAGAGGGUAGGUGCAGCAAAAUCCACUGCUCCAGCACUGCAAAAUAAAUAUAGUGAAUUGAGAUGGUUUCAUGUGAUGGAAUUAAGAAAAUGUAGCUAUCCCGUCACCGGAAUAAAAGCAACACUGUAUUGUAUAGGUUCAAGAUCAAAUUCAGCUUUAAUAUACACUUUUAGAACAUAUCAUGCAGUUUGGUUCUACUGUAAUACAUUCACAUAAACCUUACGUGAUGCAAUCUUAAAAAGCCCAAUACCGUAUAACACGUUACAUGCAGAAAAAGAUGAAGGUGAAGGCAAAUGACAAACCACAGAAAGCAAUGGCCCUUGUUUAAAUUUGUCGUGGAAUGAAAAUGCUACUGGCUUCGGAUUGUCAGCAGGACCUCGGAUGAAUCCACUGGAUUAGCCAAAAUACACAAAAAGAAUAUGUUUAGGAACAAAACACAUGCAUCAAGAAAGUUUGAAACAGAAAACUAUUGCAGCCACCAUAACAUGUGUGUUCAAAAUUUUGGUUUUAUGAGUAAUGAAGAAAAUAUACAUAAAUAUAUACUGAAAAGGGAACUAUAAAAGAGAUAAGACUGUCAUCAAACCCAAAGAUUUCCACUUACACCAACGAUGUUGAAAUUAAGGGAUUUCUUUUAACAUCAAAUACAGCAACGAGACCUUUGUAUUGCUCAUCACCAUCUUUAUAUGACACCGCCAAUCUCUCUCCUGAAGCAUCCCAUGCUAUCUUCUCAAUGACCUGGCUGCAGAAUAAUGAUAUAAAGUUAGUAAACAAUCAGUCAAAUAUAGUGACUGCAUGACCUUCAGGCUUCAAGUAUACAUGUACAAAUAUAAAGCCAAAUUCCUUGAGGCACUAUCUCAACACAAAUAUAACCAGAGAAUAUGCUAAGUACAUCUAACAGCUAAGUUAAAAGAUUUCUCUACCUGUCGGUCAACAAUUUUAUCUCUGGCAAUUCAACUGGUAUAAGAUGUGCAUCUGAAGAUCAACAUGAGGUUAAAAGUUAAACUCAGAAAAAAGUGAUACUCAAACAAAUACCAUUUCAAAAAAUUUGAAGACAUUCAAUCAAAUAUGAUAAAAAUGUCAUCCUCCAAAGUAUAUCUUGGAAAGUUAGCGAAGCUACCCAACAAGAAACCAAGAGACCACAUUUGCAUGUCUGUCAGGAAAAUGUCCAAAGAUUUAUAAUAUCAUAAAAAAGAAUCUUCAGAUUAAGGAACAGAGAGCAUUCUGGAAGCUCAUUCAAUAUAUGUUUGCAUUGGUGAAACUCAAAAUAAUAAAUUUUAUGCGAAAGUUUAUUAUCCAUUCAACUUAGAGAUGGUAACAUCACAUCAUCACAGAUAUGUAUGAGACAACUUAUCUGCAAACAUUUGUUAGGUACUCAUUGUUUCAAUGUCACAAGCAACGAACAGAACCAUGAACCCUUUCGACAAAAAAGAAAAGAGGGAGAACGAAACACCCAUUAUCUGGUGCUGAUAUCUAAUUGAAAAGCCACAUACCCGUGAAUUUUAUUCAAUCAGAAUAAUAGGACAAAUAUUAACAAAACAGAACAAAAGCAGGAUAUGUUACAUACCUAGCGAUGGAGGUUUGGAUGUAAAGUGAAUGGAACCUAAUGAUGAUGACUCCGAAAAAGAAAGAAGUACCAUACAGCCAUCUGGAUCCCAUGUUGCUCCCUAUCAUCAACAAUUAGAUGAAGAAUCAGACAAUAAUUUACAUGCCAAAUUUUUCCAGCAAAUAGAAAUAUGAGCAAUUAAGAUCAUAAACAAGACAAAAGACUGCAUAUGUAGGUGCACUGCUCAACUAUCUUAAUUAAUCACAUAAAAGCAUAGAUGCAGAAAAGCGGCCCAAGGCAACAGUCAUUUUUAUUUUUGCUUGUCAGCUGAAAACUAAAACUAAAACACUAUAUUCAUCUGAAAUUUUCUAAUCUAGAGCGUGUAAAUAACUUUUUUCAUGAACCCAGACUUUGAACAUAGUCACCUGAGUACAAGGCUUUCCAUAAAAGAAAAGGAUGCUUAAAAGGGGGGCAAAGUGGGGGUGGGGGCAGACAAGAAGCUGCGCAGUUUAUCAUUUUUCACUAAACCAUGAAUUCUAUGAAUAGAUAAAACUGAUAAGUUAUCACUACUUUAGAAAACAGGUUAUCCACGAACCGUGACAAAGCCAUUCUUUGAGGACCAUGGUUCCGAUGUCCAAGUGCUUGUCUCCCAGAGAUAAAAUGUUCCAUCACUGCAUCAUAAAAGGCCACUCUAAAUGGUUAUUUAAUGAUUCCAUAAUGUGUAUCCUCAGAAAGUAAUAAGAUGCAAAUCAAUUUAGAUGGCAAAUGGUAAUUUACAGUACAAUUUUGCAGAAAAGAAAUAAUCUCCCGAGGGAGACCACUUUAACAGUGAUAUGCCUCCUAGGCCCCUUCGAAUAGGAGUGCCCAGCCCUGUCAUUAAAAGAAGAGAUCCGACAUAAGAAGAAGAAAAUAACAUAGCAUGCAUGAAGUUUAUAACAGUGGCUAUACGAUGCUUUUGAAAGUUUUGCAUUUUGCAGAUUGUUUUGUAAUAGAGAUGAUAAGGAGACACAUACCUUGUGAAACAUCCCAAAUGGUGAAAGAUGAACUCUCAUAUGAAGCUGAAGCUAAAUAUGUAAAACCAAGUCAAGGAAUAUACAGAAUGUUGGAUUCACGUAAUCUUUUCCCUUGAGAAGAUAGAAUGACAGACAACAAAAGUUUAACUAAUCCUACACAAAGUCUUUAAUGGGUUAAAAUGAGUCACAAACUGAAAUUUCAGCCAACAAAUAAUAGACUGCUAAGUGGAACAACUAUAAUAUAAGAAUAUAAGUAUAUAUAGUUGAUAUGGAUAUCUUCCAUCAGGACUCCAUGAAAGUGCAGUAAUCUGUUCAGAAUCGGAACUCUGAAGGAAAUCCACCAGAGUCCAUUGUGUCACAGAGCCCCUUGAAAGUGGGUUCGAAGUCACCCCAGGUCUAACGGGUGGAAUAUUACCAGGAGAAGAAGCAGCCCAGAUGCAAAUGCCACCCCUAUCAUAAACCACAAUAAGAUUUUAACUAAACAACAACGUCCAAAGAAAAAACAAAUAUACAUUAAACAGAUUCUUUUUGUGGGACUAACUUGCAUGCAACAGAAAGGGUUUUCCCUCCAUUUGGUCUCCACUCAAGAAUCUUUACAUCUUUUUGGGACUCAUGGGACAAGAUGCAAGGAGACUUUCCAUCUGAUUGUCGACAAAAGUAAAGAGGAAAUACAUCAUUUAUGAUAGGAUCAAAGUGCAUCAACAAUCUUGAAGCACCAGAGGGGUAACCAAAAAUCACCAUCAAGAAAUUUCAUGGCAUUUACCGGAAUCAUUGUAGUCACAAAUCGUCACCUGAUGCGGUGCAGAAACAAAUGCUAAAAUCUGUUUGUGGUCGUGCCAACUUACACUGUGAAGAUCAAUACCAUUUAAAAGUUUUACCUGCAAACAAACAUAGAUGGCAGAUACAUUAAUACUUCUUGCAUCUAACCAUUGCCCUCCUCUCAAUAACUACAAAGAGCUAUAGCAUCUAAUCUCAAAACAAACACUAAAAACAUUAGAACCGGAAAGCAAGCAGACGUAUGCACAACAAAAUGCAAGUCAAGGAUGAUAAUUACAUCGGCAGGCUGCAAAAGAGGCCUGAGGGAGCCACUCAACAGAGCCUCUAGUGCCGCAGAUAGAAUAUCUAAACUACCCUUCCUCCUUUCAACUGAUUCCUGCUCAGUCCCCGUCCCUAAUAAGCUGUCUGAUUCGAAAGGGAUCGGACUGAAUACAGUCCCCUGCAAUUGUACCAAUCAAUGGCCGUACACAUCAAAUUAUUUAACAAACAAAUAUCACAGCCCCAAAAAACACUACUUUACGACAACAAAAAAGUAAGAACGAUUAGAGUGGAGUACGAGGAUUUUAGCGUAAGUAUCCUUCGCUUGAUCAUCGCCGAGGUGGUCUGCCGUAACUGCGUGGAAAUUAAGCAAAAUUUAAGGACAAAUGAGGAACCGAAAUGAGGUAAAAAGGGGUUUCCGAUGAGAAACUGUUACCUAGUUCUCUGUUGAUUUCGCAAAUGGUGACCGUGCCUGGCUGAGGGAAAGAAGGCAUCGUGUCUGGAGCUGUGGUGUUGGCGUGACUGAGAGAGAGAAAGAGAGAGAGAGAGAGAGAGAGAGAGAGAGAGUAGGGGUUAUAGUAGUUAGUUUUAGGUUACGUUNAGAGAGAGAGAGAGAGAGAGAGAGAGAGAGAGAGAGAGUAGGGUUUAUAGUGAUUUUUGGUUUAGUUCCCGCCAGGGAGCUCUGUGUUUCCCAGUAUCUGAGGGUCUAAUUUAUAAAUUCGGGAUUUUAGAGGGGGGGAAGCAUAAUAAUACAGUAUUUGAGGGUUCGAAUGACUAAAAAAGAAUUAUCAAAAUUGCCCCUCCAUUUUUCUUAUAUAUUCAGCCCUAACCACUGACACUGUAUCUCCUCUUAGCUCAGUCGCAGCCUACGCGCCUCCAGUUUUCGACCUUCUCAUCAUCUACACACCUAUACUGUAUUUCCAUAUACGUAUCGCAAUGGCGGCGGACGAAGUAGAGAAGGCGCGAGAUUCGAUAUUCCGAGACAUCAGGAGAUAUUACUGUGAGUUCUGUGGAAUUUGCCGAUCGAAGAAAGUCCUAAUCGCCGCUCACAUCCGUACUCACCACGAGGUAUGUGCUUGAUUAUGCUCUGAAUAAGGGUGGUGGAGGAUGGAGUUCGUUGCGGAUUGUGUUCUGAAAUUUUCUUCUUUUAUUAUGCGGUUUACUGUCGAAUUCUGUUGAUUGGUGAGGGAUUUUGUGAAUUGCAGGAAGAAAUUGAGGAGAAUGAGCUGAAUGAAGAAAAGGAGCAUGGCGAGAAACUGAAUUUGUGCGAAGAAUGUGGCGCGAGCUUUUGGAAGCCUGCCCAUCUGAAGCAGCAUAUGCAGAGCCAUUCUCUCGAGGUCAGUGUUUCCGAUUGAGUUAUGCGUAUAAUUGUUUCAUUCCAGUAUAACUUCACCUCGUGUAUUAUUUAUUGUGUUUUUGAAUUCGUUAUUGGUCGAGAAUUAAGAUUGAGUGUUUGCUCGGAGCAACUGGUUGAUUGAUUGUUUACUUUAUGCAUGGCUUUCAGCAUGUGAAUUUUGCUUUCCAUAUUAAAUAUGAUCUGGCAUUUUGUUCGCAUGGUCGCCUGAAUUAUGUUUUGAUAAAAGAGUGUUGCAAGUUAAUUAAUUGCUUCGUUCGGCUUAAAGUUCAAUAUCGAGUAUGUUACUGUAUCGAGUAUGUAAUUCAUAUUAGCAGUUUUCUAUUUUUUUGUUAUAAUUUUGAGAUUGAGUUUGGGAAAUGAUGCGAAUCGAUAUAUCGCUAUUUUCAGAGGCUCGGUGAAAAUCUGUUGCUCUGCUGAACAUAUCAUAUUUGCACGUCAGUCUGAUCCCAUUCUCCUCUCUUUAAAAAAAAAAAAAAAACUGUAUCGAGUAUGUUACUGGAUUCAGGAUUCAGGAUUCAAGAAUCGUCUCUAUUUUUCAUUUAUGUGCAAUCGUAAAUGGUUGGUUUUGCGGAGAAUGGUUUGGUUUGUAUAUGUGUUUCUGUGUAUCUGGGCCAUUAAACAAAUAACCUUUUGCAGAUUGAAGUAUGGCUGAACAACAUUGACAUGAUAUAUUGCUGGGCGUGAAGCAUUGGAUCCCAAAUAAAAGAACUCCAAAAUGCGAGAGGCAGCAAAUGUUACCUUGAAUGGAUCAGUACCAGGCGGGGGACCGCCUGAGAAGCUCCAUCAAGUGUGCCUCAGUCACGCUUGCUAUUCUUUGAGGUUUGGGGAUUCUUUAGUUAUGUGUUGGUAGGUCACGAGUAGCUCCUACGAAAGUUCUGCACUAUAAUCUCCUGAUAAUAAGUGUGUUUCAUUGCAGAGGCCUUUCGUUUGUUCAGUGGAUGACUGCCACUCCAGUUACAGAAGGAAAGACCACUUGACAAGACACAUGCUUCAGCAUCAAGGGAAAUUGUUUGAAUGUACUUUUGAGGGCUGCAAGGUGAUGUUUACAAUACAGGGUAAUAUGGACAAGGCAUGUCAAGGAGUUCCACGAUGAAUCUGCUUCUACUAAAGUUAAGCAACACGUAUGUUUGGAGCACGGGUGUGGGAAGGUCUUUAAAUAUCUCUCCAAAUUGAAAAACCAUGAGGAUUCUCAUGGUAAAGUUACUUUAUUUUGAUUCCUGUGCAAACAAGUUAUAUUAUAAUGGAAAUGCGAGUUAUUCAUUAGUUAAGUUUUGGGUUUAAUGCAGUUAAGCUGGAUUCGGUGGAGGCAUUCUGCGCAGACCCAGGCUGUAUGAAAUACUUUUCCAAUGAACAGUGCCUUAAGGAGCAUAUUCGGUCUUGCCAUCAACACAUUACAUGUGAUCAGUGUGGCACGAGGCAGCUAAAGAAAAACAUCAAGCGUCACAUGCGCAUGCAUGAAGAAGGGCCUUCCUCGGAGAGGAUCAAAUGUAGUUUCAAGGGAUGCACGCUAACAUUUUCAACUGUAAGCCCCUUCCCUUCCAAAUCCCAUUUACUCAAAUGUUGCCCCUCCUCGUUAAGCUCAUCUUGUACACAACAAUUUCUUCAGUAUUAAGCAUGUUUCACUUGGACAUUUGACUUUGUAAACUGCAAUUAUCUUCACCGUACUUGUUGAAGAGUUUCUCAGCAGACUCCCUUCUCAUGUACAGACAUCAAAUCUCCAUCAACAUAUAAAGGCUGUGCACCUGGAACUAAAACCAUUUGUCUGUGGCAUGCCCGGUUGUCACGAGAGAUUUGCAUUCAAACAUGUGAGGAACAGGCACGAACAAACUGGGUGCCACAUCUAUACUCCUGUAAGAUCUCUUACUUCUUGAGCCAAUCAAUAAUCUUCAUCACAAGCCAAUGUUAGCAUUUCUGCAGCAGCAUAUGAAACAAUACCUUAUAGCUGGAUUAUGACCUGUCGUGUUCAGGGAAAUUUCGAUGAAUCUGAUUUGCAAUUCCGGUCAAGGCCAAGAGGUGGCAGGAAAAGGAAGUACCCGGUCAUCGAGACACUGUUGCGGAAAAGGAUUGUUCCGCCCAGUGAAUCUGAGCUUGUCAGCAACGACGAAUACGAGAACUCGUCAUGGUAAAUCCGUUUAGAUGUAUCUCCACAGUAGCUGACUCUCUCAAUUAAGGAUCCAGGAAUUUGGCUAUGUUACGAUGUGUACAAUCCUAUAUCGGUCGUAUGUAUAAAAUGUCAAAUAUUAGUAUAGCUUUGGGAAGAAAACAAUUGCUAAAAUUUUGUCUAACUGGUGCAGUGGGUUUGUAUAUGGUUUUUGUUGGUGCAAAUAUAAUUAGUCUUUAUUUAUUUAUCUAUCUAUUUUGCCCUGGAGAUUAUUUGGCUCUUCUGCUUAAUUUGUAGUCUUUUUCCAUUUUUAUGACCCAUUUCUUCAAUUUUACUAGUAUUCUUUGAAGGUCUCAAAGGGGAAAAAAAGAGAGUAUUCUGGUGUAGGCCCAUCAAUGCCACUUUAGGGCGUAUGAUACAAAAAUUAGCUUUUUUAUUUAUGAUUAUUUCCUCAUUUAAUAACUUAUCUUUAUAACCAUGUGAAUAGUUUGGAAUUUUUGUCAUAAAUACAUGGACAUCCUACUACUAUUAUUAUUAUUAUUAUUAUUAUUAUUAUUAUUAUUAUUAUUAUUAUAGUAAGUCCUAUUAAAUCUUUUAAGAAUUUAUAUAUAUUGUUCACUCCUAAAAUAGUCCAUCAAUUCCACUCUAGUCUUUAGGGCAUAUGACCAAAAAAUUUAGUUUCUUUAUUUAUAUGUUUAUUUUCAUCAUGAUUCUUGAGAUAAAGAUUUACAUUUAAAUCAUCAAAUUAAGGAUCUUUAAUUUAACAUCCAUAUUGAGUAUUUCUUUCAUGAAUCGAAAUUAAUGACUUUUUGAAAAAAAUAAAAUAAAUUAGAAAAGAAAAAAUAGAUAAAAAUUGGAGGGAAAAAUUAUGAGAGAGAUAAAAAAAUUGGAGGUAAAAAAACUCCUCUUUUAUUAUUAUAUAUAUAGAUAUAUAGAUGUUAAAAAACAAUAAAAUUUUGAAAUGUCUGAUUUAUAGAAUUGCAAGUGUCGACCCGAACCGGAAACCGUAUCCGUAAACCCAUACCCAUAUAUCCGAAUUGGUCACAUCCAUAAUACUGUGCAGUUUUCCCUCCAAUACUGAAUAGUCAAAAAUGGAGCUGGAGCCCUGGGAAGCUUUAGAUCUCGACGAUUCUGACCUUCCUUCUCUCCUCCGCCCCUGCAAACGACGACGUUCCUCCUCUCCUGCCGCCUCCGACAACCCUCCUUCGCAGCCAGCGCUCGAGCAACUACCAGCUUUCUCCUCGCGCCGCCCCGCUAUUCCCGGCCCCGCCGGAGCUGUCCACGCCGCGAUGCUCCGCAAAAAUCACGACCGCGAGAAUCACAAUGUCUCCGACCAUGAUAAUGGUAACGACGGCCUACUUUCUACCCAAGACUACAUACGGAAGGCCAUGGACGAUACUGCGGAAUUCGAUGAUGACUUCUCUCGCCAUCCUUGGCUUUCCGCCCUCCAGUUUCUCGGUAAUUGUGACUUCGUCCACGCUAAUUUCAUCGAUUUGUCUAGCUCUUGUUACCGCUAAUUGGCCGAUUGAUUCUUUGUUGAGAAGUUUUGGUCCAUUGUUUGCAAAUGUAAAUAUUUCUAUUCAGUUUAGCUUGUUUGGUUUUUCUAGGUGCGAUGGAUUCUGAUGAUUGUAAUAGAAUCGUUGUUUCUAACUUUCAGGUACUGCAGAUGGUCUGAUUCCGAGCACACCUAUCAGCUCUAUCAAGAAAUGUUUCAAUGGCGACAAGGUUGAUCAGGUAUUGAAUAAGUUCUGAAGAGAGAGAUUUUGGGGAUAAUAGUAAGUCUAGAUGAUUAAUUCAUGAGGCUAUUCUUAUGUUAAGGUAACAUUUCUGCUGUGGUGAUUGACCAAAAUCAUGGUAUGUGGCUUCAAACUCAAUAAUCUGAGUGAAGGGAAGCAAUGUCGAAUCACAAAUUGAUCACAAAAUAUACUUGCUUAUUUGCUUAAUCUAUAAAGCAUCCAUUUGUUUGGUUUGAGCUCGGAACACUUUUAAUUUAUUCUUGACAUGCUUGAUUUUCUUGUGUCAGGUUGUAGCUGUUGUCAAGUCAUGCACUCCUAAUGGUCUUGGGGGUUUGUUAGUUUCAUUGAAGGUAUAAAAGGGGUAAUAAGGAUUAAGGAUAAGAACAAUAACAAUAACAGUAACUAAUAAGAUCGCGUAGUUUAUGUUACUGACUUGAUGGUCUUCAAACUUAGGACCCAACUGGUACAAUUGGUGCUAGUAUUCACCACAAGGUCCUCUCCCAAACCGAGUUUGGCAAGGAGUUAACUACUGGUGCAGUUCUAAUACUUCAGAAGGUAUGGUCCAACUGUAGUUUCCUGUUCGUGUGAAUGUUAUUUAUACCCUACUUGGGAUAUGUCAGCAGGAUCAUAGUUUUCUUUACUGCUGGUUUUCGUUUCGUUGACUGACUAGAAGUAGUCUCAGGUUGCCAUCUUUGCCCCUGUGAGGUCAGCGCGUUAUCUCAAUGUAACAACGAGGAAUUUAGUGAAGGUAAUUUCCCCCCUAAUUUGAAUGAUCCUAGAGAACUUGCUUUUCCAUAUUAACUUAUAUGGAUUAGGAUCGUUGUCUGCAACUAAAGCAGUUUCUCAUUUCAACAUUCAGCUUCCUUUUCUUGGAUUACUAAUUUAUGACAUUUAUCUACGUUGCAUUGGCCUCAGCUUAAAAUAAUAAAGUUCAUUUAAUGAAUUUUUUUGGUCAAACAGAAUUGUCAUAGAUGUGGGAAACAUGUGUGCGUGUCUGAUCCUGUAAUUUGGAAAUUGACAAUAUCCUAGAUGCUAAUAUCAUGAAGUAUGCUCACUAUAUGCCCCUUACCUGUAUGAUAGUUGAAGCAUUUUAAUCUGCUUGUUUAGCAUCUUUUGACAAGACAUUAUCAUGAACACUGUUAAUAGUCUCAAGGUUACAUCUAUUCAUUUCUAGAUGUAUAUUUGAUCUGUCUGUCUUAUUGCUCCCAUGGCUUUCAUCUGCAGGUAUUCUGCCGAAACAAGGGAUCCACUUCAGAACUUCAUAAAUCUGUUCAGCCAGUCCAGUACGCUGAUCCUGAUAUCGGUCUGCAGGAGAAAUUUAAUUUUAAUUUACUUGUUUUAAAGCUAACUGGAAGCUAAACAUUCAAGGGUCUUUCAUCCUUUUAAUCUUUCCAACACUUGAUGCACAGAAUCUAGUCGAAAAGCCAGAGCCGUGGAGAAGGUGUCCUCCAUGCAAAAUGUGGUACGCGAAGACACUGAGAUGAGACACUGCACGAGAACUGAGGAUUCCCAAAAUGAUAAUGUAAUCCAGAAGCAGAAUGCUUUUGCUGGAAGCAGUCAAUCCAAUAACAGAGACAGCUCAAACGUAACUGCAGCCGAGAGAGGAGGGUACAUUAAUCUAAGCCAGCACACUAGGAUUGCUGAAGACGAACAGGAGACUGUUAACGGCACCAAAAGAGGGGCAAAGGGAGGUAGCUUGGAAGGUAGCCUCCUCAAGGACACUGAUAAUAUGGCCAGCCCUGUUGCAGAAACUACAGGUGAAAAAGGUCGAGAGACCAAUCCAGUGCAAAUGCAAAGGCAUCCUCUAAUGUCGACAGCCACUCUGCCACAGUGGACAGACGAACAGUUGGAUGAACUUUUCACUGGCGAUGAAGAUGAUGGCUCUUUAUUCUAAUAAGGUUUGCAAAAGGUUUUUUUGUCGAAUACUACAAGACAUUGCAAAUCUUGACAUCUUGAAGCUGCCAAGAUUCAAUGGAGAAAAAGAAUCAUAGACAUCUAACUAUGAAUAUCAGAGAAGUAUCUUGAUCCACAUGCUUGCUUAGGCCAGUAGGAUUACUGCCACUGUAUAGCCUAAACAUAGGAAUUGAAGGAAUUUAACAAAUGAAACUAUCAUGCUUCCUUAGCACACAUAUAUAGAAGGAAAGAAAAGACAGCAAUUUUUUUUUGUUUACUAUGUAUGUUUGCUGCUUCAUUCUUUAAUAUUAGUCGAAUGUUUUAAACUGCCAACUAUAAAAAUGUCGUGCAUUGCACAAAUGGUUAUACUAGUUAUUAUUUCCACUGUCUCACUUUAAUAUGCUUACUUCUUUUGGGCACGAAGAUUAAGAAACUUAUUUUUUAAGAGGAAAGUAGUAUGAUCCACAAUAAUAAAGUAUAUAGUACUUUUUAUUUAAAAUGGAAAACGAGUUUAUUCUAAUGGGACGUCUCAAAAAAGAAACAAGCCUAUUAGACUAAGACGGAGAGAGUAUUAAUUAAAAGAUCCAACAAAUAUAAAUUCAGCGCACAAAUUACCAGGCCCAACGGCACUUCAAUUUUCAUGUUUGUAUACCUUGAGACUUGAAUUGAAACGAGAGACAUCUAAAUAAAAAUAAUUUUAAAGAUCGGAUUAUUGUGAAUUCAAACUCAGAAUCUUUGGUCUCGAGCAUUAAUCACCAUAAUUUUUUACCUCAAAUACUAAUCACCUACUGACUACUGCUAAUCAACACACACAAAAGAAUCACCUUGUCACUUUUUUUUUGUUUGAUAAUUUAACGGUAUUAAAUAAAAAAAUUUAAAGUCGCGUCACAGACAACUCGAACCUAAGACUUUGACCUUAAACAUUAAUCAUUUACGGUUUUGGCCAACACACGCACGCGUCACCUUGUCACCUUAUUAUUGAGUUUAGUCGUCGAAGUGGUUGGGAAAUGGUCUAAAGAGUAGCUACCUUGACAAGUGGAAUUAAUAAUCAAACCUCUCCCUCUUUUCUCGUAGAACUCUCCAAGUCCUAAUUUCUCUGUUCAGUCGGUGUGUUUAGACAUCGACAAAGCCUGCGCCGACUUUUGGUGGGGAGUCUCAGAGUCAGGUAAACGUAUGCAUUGGGCCAGAUGGAAAGCGCUUUGUGAGCCGAAAUUAAGAGGAGGAUUGGGGUUUCGUCAGAUGGAGCCCUUCAACCAAGCUCUCCUCGCCAAACAAGCGUGGAGAAUUAUUAAAUAUCCCAACUCUCUAUUGACACGUGUCCUUAAAGGAAGAUAUUUCAAAGAUGGGGACGUGGCUGAUGCAAAAGUCUCUACCAAUGCAUCUUACUCGUGGAGAUCUUUAUGUUGGGGUAGGGAAUUGCUUAAAAGGGACUGAGGUGGAGGAUAGGCGACGGUAAGCAAAUUAAAGCCUUUUCAGAUGCGUGGAUUCCGAGCGAGGGUUCUGGUGUUGCCUGCUCGAGUGCCAACGGAGGAGAGGAUCUGGUUGUGGCUGAUUUUUUCACUUGCGAAGGCAAAUGGGAUGAAGCUCAAGUCCGUAAUUCUUUUCUUGCACAUGAGGCUUCUGCUAUUUUUUCUUUGAACAGGGAUAUGCCGGCAGCUAAGGAUGACCGAUAUUGGCGUUUUGAUGAGAAAGGGAAGUUCUCCGUUAAAUCUGCUUACCUGCUCGCUGUGGGUUUUUUUGACUCGCACCAUGCUCUAUCUAAGUCAAAUCAACAAGUUUGGUGGAAGAAAGUUUGGUGUGCUAACAUCCCGCCAAAAGUGAGAGUUUUCUUAUGGCGAGCGACGACGGAUCGGAUUGCUACUGACGCUAACCUGUUCCGGCACCAUAUUCCUAAUAACGGUAUGUGCUCGUGGUGCCGCAGGGAUUGGGGAAGUACUGUUCAUUGUCUAAUUCAUUGUGAGGUGGUUAGCUCGGCGUGGAAGAGAUCAAAAUGGUGGAGAUCGCUGAAAAGAUGGAAGUAUUUGGCCCUUCAUGAUAUUUGUUCUCUUGUUUACGAAGAAGGUGAGAGGAAGGACUUUGAGUUGUUUUGCAUUUACUUAUGGAAGGUCUGGAAUUGGCUUUGUGAAGUUAAGCAUGGUACUCUACCAAUGGGGAAAUUGGAAUGGCUGGAGGGAGAGGAUUUCCUUGAUAUGUUCCACAAGGCUAGGGCCACGGCUUCUGUAAACAUGCAGAUCCUUCCCAAAGAAGGCGAUAGGAACUGGUUUCCGCCAAGAAGAGGGGUUUUAAGGCUUGACGUGGACGUUUCAGUGCAUGAAGACGACGGAGCAACAGGGGUGGGUUUCGUUUUGAGGAACUUCUUGGGCGAGCUUAUUGCUGCCGGUGCACAUCGAAUUGGAAGGACGGAGACUGUGCUUAUGGGAGAUCACGCUUUGCUUCUCGGCAUUGGGUUCUGCCUCGAGAAUGAUACUGGCCCGAUCAAAGUCUUCACUGACUCACUCCUUGCGGUGCACGUUGUUCACGAGAAAUAUAAGGGAAUGGAGUCCCUCAGUGAUGAGUUGUUUGAGGCUUUCAGUCACGCCAAAGAACACAUCGUCCUUGAGUUUUGCCAUAUGCGCCGUGAGGCCAAUAGCGUUGCUCAUGCGUUAGCUAAUUUUGCUGCUUCCUCCCUUGGUGUAACUGUCUGGAAGUCGGCCUUCCCGAGCUGGCUGAUAGACAUUUCUCUUAAUGAUUUAAUAUAAAUCUUGCUGUUUCGUUCAAAAAAAAAAAAAUUCUCUGUUGCAGAAUCCAAAUUCUUUGCAAUCUCGAUUGAAGAACUUGUAUUCACUACAACGAGUUCCUUAUCCUUAUUCCUCUACACACACUCUCACCAAUAGUGAAUCAAUUUGACCAAAGAAAUUCGAGUUUGGAAUUGUUGCGAUGGCAGAAGCAGUGGUGUCGACGGCUCUGGAAACCCUGCGCGAUUUGUUGUUGGAAGAAGCAAGGUUUUUAUCUGGCGUGGGCGACGAAGUGAAGGAGCUCGAGUGGCAGCUGAAAGAGAUGAAGUGUCUUCUCGAAGACGCCGACAAAAGGCGACAUGAAAGCAAAACCAUUCUCAAUUGGAUCUCAGAGAUCAGAGAUCUUGUAUACGAAGCCGAAGCUGCCAUUGAAAGACACGCAGCUUAUCAAGUGUCUUCGAGGAGAAGACGAGGCCUCCGCAGAUGUAGUUGUCGUUUGGGAGAAUACAAGUCGAUCCACCGAUUAGGCUCCGAGAUUUCACCAAUCAAAUCCCGUCUUGAAAGGAUAAACAAGGCAAUGGUAGAAAAUGGCAUAAAGAAGAGCAUCAUCAACAAUAGAGAUGGAGGGGCCAACNAAUAGUUGAAUCAAUUUGACCAAAGAAAUUCGAGUUUGGAAUUGUUGCGAUGGCAGAAGCAGUGGUGUCGACGGCUCUGGAAACCCUGCGCGAUUUGUUGUUGGAAGAAGCAAGGUUUUUAUCUGGCGUGGGCGACGAAGUGAAGGAGCUCGAGUGGCAGCUGAAAGAGAUGAAGUGUCUUCUCGAAGACGCCGACAAAAGGCGACAUGAAAGCAAAACCAUUCUCAAUUGGAUCUCAGAGAUCAGAGAUCUUGCAUACAAAGCCGAAGCUGCCAUUGAAAGACACGCAGCUUAUCAAGUGUCUUCGAGGAGAAGACGAGGCCUCCGCAGAUGCAGUUGUGGUUUGGGAGAAUACAAGUCGAUCCACCGAUUAGGCUCCGAGAUUUCACCAAUCAAAUCCCGUCUUGAAAGGAUAAACAAGGAAAUGGUAGAAAAUGGCAUAAAGAAGAGCAUCAUCAACAAUAGGAAUAGGGAUGGAGAGGCCAACAACAUGUCAAGGAAGACUUUCCCCGAAUUCGAGAUCGGAGAUUGCUUCGUGGGGAUGGAGGAUGAGCUGAAGCAGCUUGGUAAUCUCCUAAGGCGAGACAACGAGGAUAGAGUUGUAUCAGUGUGGGGGAUGGGGGGAUCAGGCAAGACCACCAUUGCCAAGAAGCUCUACAACGAGACCGGCUUCGAUCGUUGCGCGUGGGUUUGCAUCACUCAGCAAUGUCAGAGUUUUCAAUCAGUUUGGGAGGAUGUUCUGAAGCAGCUAGAGCCACAAGUAAGGGAGGAAGCUGUUCCGAGCCUGAGCGAGUCGGAGUUGAACGAGCGACUGUGCAAGACGCAAAGAGAGAAACGAUGCCUCGUUGUUUUGGACGAUCUCUGGAAAGUUUCUGAUUGGAAUGAGUUGAAGCAUCCCUUCCUCGUCCAUGAUUUGGAAAGCAAAAUCUUGAUCACCACGCGCGAACAGGAAGUUGCCGAGAUUGGAUCUCCUGUAAAACUUGGGCUUCUAAAUAUGGAAGAUGCUUUGGAACUGCUCAAGAAGAAAGCAUUUCCACAUACCAACAUUCCAGGUUAGUUGUGUGUGUAUGCAUAAUAUGGUGCUUUAGUUUCUUUUCUAGCUAAGUUAUAAGUUGUGUAGUACUAUUCAAUUAAUUGUCAUGUGUUAUUUCAAUACAGACUUUGCAUUGGAAGAAAAUUUUGAGAAAAUUGGGAAAGGAAUGGUGCAGAAAUGUGGGUUUUGCCAUUGGCAAUUUCUCUACUGGUGGGGUGUUGAGAAUGAAAAAUUCGAUGAAGGAGUGGGAGUUAGUAAAUGAGGAUAUCAAAGCAUUCAUAUAUAGAGACGAAGGUGAGAUUGAUGGAGUGCUAAACUUAAGCUAUGAAAGUCUACCCUAUUAUUUGAAGCCUUGCUUUCUCUAUAUGGGUAUAUUUGAAUAGGACGAAGAUAUAGAUGUUGACGAUCUAUAUAGUAGAUGGAUAGCACAAGGCAUGAUUUCAUAUGAGAAUAUUCGAGACAAGGACACAACUUUGUUUGAAAUCGCAGAGCUCUACUUGGGUGAGUUGGACUCCAGGUCCAUCGUCCAAGUUCAAAUUCACGAGGUGUCACACCGGAAGAAAAUAUAGGAGCUGCAAACUUCAUGAUGUAGUAAGAGAAGUAUGUUUGAAAAUGGGGAAAAGGGAGGAUUUUGGUGUGCUGAGUUUGGAGUAUCAAACUGGGAAACUAAUUAGUACCUUACUACGACAAGCUUCUUCUGAUAUGAAAAUACGACAUUUGGUUAUCCAUUUUAGGAAAAAAGUCGAAUUGGAACCUGACGAGCUUGGAGAAGAUAGUAGCAAACGUUUAAGGACUCUUCAAAUGUUCAAUCACAGUAAUUUGUUGAGCUUCCCAACAAAGUAUAGUUGAUUUUCAGAGAUUCAAAUUGUGAGAGAUCUAUUUAUGGUGGGAUUCAAAUUUGCAGAAGAAAGUUACCGAAAGGAAUCACUAAUCUUGUGCACCUUAGACGUUUGCGUUUAGAAGAAUGUGCAUUUGAUAAGUUACCAUCUCCAUAAGGAAUUUGGUAUACAUGGAUACCCUUGAUUUAACUGACUCGAUGAAUGUUGAAGUUCCAAAUGUUUUUAAGGAGAUGCUACGUUUAAAGCACUUGCUUCUUCCGGAGUAUGAGGAAAAUAUUGGUAGUUAUCGAUUAACAUUGGAUGAGGGAGUGGUUGAGUUGGAGACCCUAUGGGGGUUGGAUAGUAGAGUGCAUGAAUUAAAAUGUAUGAACAGAAUGAAGAAUCUGCGAAAUUUCUCAACAAAAAUAACGACAACAAAAGCUUGUCAACCAUGAUCGACGCCAUUGCUAUCAUGAUCAAGUUAGUGUUUUGUAUGGUUGAAAUCAAAGAGAGUUGCGAGUUAGGAACAAAUGAGGGAGUGUUGAACAAGGCACUCACAUGUCCCAAUAUUCACUACUUGUCGAUUGAAGUUAAGUUAGGGAAGGCUCUGGCAGAGUGCGGGCGUGACUUCAUCAGCUCUAAACUACAGAUUUGGAGCUGCGAGAAUGUGAGAUUGAGGAUGAUCCAAUGGGAAUACUGGGGAAGCUUCCUUGCUUGACAGAUUUGUAUUUAGGGAGGAAAUCAUUUGUCGGGAAGGAGAUGACGUGUCCAUCAAACAGUUUUCCACGCCUCAAGACGCUUUUCCUAUGUCAAUUACCAGAGUUGAGGGAGUGGAGGGUGGAGGCAGGAGCCAUGCCCCUUCUCUCUCAAUUACAGAUCUGGAAUUGUGAUAGUCUGAAGACGGUUCCAAUGGAUUGAGUGGCAUUUCUCUUCGGGAACUGAAGAUCAAUGGAGAAUUGGGGAAGAGGGUAUCGGCAUCAGGAGAGGAUUUCCACAAAGUCAGUCAUGUCUCUUCAAUUAUCAUCCGAAACUAGUAAUAAACAUAUAAAGGAGCAUUUACUUUGAAUGAUUAGUCUUGAUAGAUAAAAAUAGUAAGGUUAAUCCCUUAUUUACUUUGUUGGAUUGAAACUUUGGGAUAUCUCAAGCCCUUAAUUAUUUUUGCAUUUAAGUAAGUUUUGUUGAUUCUUAUUCCACCAAAAAAAUUGAAUUGAGUAAUCCUACUCUUAAGGCUAAAAAUAUUUAAUAUCCAUUUUAUAAUCAUGAAAUAAAUGCUCCUAAUAGAACAAAGAUUUGGAAUACAUAGACAGCGUAGUGUUAGUGUUACUAAAAACAUGAGAGGCGCAUGCCAAAAAGACAGCUUAUAAUUAUCAUAUGACUAUUUGAAGGUGACUGAUUAUAAUUAUUACCCCUUCCGCCAUGAAAGAACUUUAGGAGAGUGCACUUUUAAGAAAAAAUUUGUUAUGUAUUGAGCUUUCUAGAAGGAAGUGGCACGAGUUUUAAGAAAAAAGUGUUAGUGUAUUGAGAGUAUGAAUGUGUUACUAUAAUAAUAUUGAGAGUUGUGAUAAAAUGAAAAGUAGUAAUUUAAUGGUGGUAUAUCCAAAAAUAGGUAAAGUUUUUUGUGACUCCCAAAAAAAAAGAUAUAGGAAGUUCUUUCGUAAAUUGAGGGAGUAUUAUCUAAAAUCAUAUUCGCAUUAAAAUCAGCACAUUGUAUCUCUUGGAGUUUUUGUUGAUGCUAUGUAAAAUUCACAUCUACUAGAAAAACGAACAAAACAAGCACUUUGGUAGAGGCUACCAACUCCAUUGCUUUCAUACACGUUUAUUUUGAUAACUUAUCAAAUCUAAUCUGGUAAUAACAAGUUACCAUCAUAAGAGAUCCAGAGCAACAAUAUCUAGUUUGAGAUAAGUGAUCAUAUAUUAACCAUAUUCUCUACUUAACAAACCAGAGACAUUACUUAUUUUUUUAAUAGGGAAAAGAGACAUGAUGCUGCUAUAAAAGAAUCCAAGCUUUUAUUGUUGGCUGGCACAGCAAAAUUUCAACCAACAGAAAAAUAAUAUAACAUGGUUUGGAUUAUAGCCUGAACACAGCCCAUAUAUCUCAGAUCAAUAAACAAAUAAAUGGCGUAUACUACAGCUAAAGAGUGUGGACUGUGUCCGAGUAUCUCUCAUCCGGUCCUCUCCUCUCGCUUGCACGACAAAAAGGCGGCUACCAUCAAAGACUUUGGUUUUUCAUAGUAAAUUGGUAACUGGAAGUUGCUUAGAUGAAACGAACUACUGAGUGAUGCGUGCCGUUUACACAAAACAUCUAUGGGGGAUUGAGGUAUAUCCGGAUGCUUCAUCUACUACUGAAAUAACUUCCUCAGCCUGUCCAGAGAUUGAGACGCUCUUUUGUUGUUUGGCUCAAGAACGAGGGCGUAUCCAAAAUCUGCAAGGUGAGAAAAGAUUGAAGCAAAAUAACAACCUAGUUUCUUCAGUCAAAUGACUUCAUUCUGGACGACAAGUCUGAAUACAUUUUGGAGUUUUUUUCAAGUAGGAAGCAUUUUUUAACGCAAUUGUGCAAAUAUUACCAGUCCCCAUGCUUGAGUUCGACCAUAGAUAUUAAGUUUUGGUUUGCCAAACAAUUGAAGUAGACUCACCUUCCAUUGCUUCUUUAUAGUAGCCCAACAUUUCCCGCGCUGUUCCUCUCCUCAAAUAGGACUUCACAUUCUGCAAGCACGUCGAGAAUGAAUUAUCAGGAGUAAAGGAUGUGUUUGAAAGUGGUAUGGAAAAUUCACAACUUGUUUAGUGAACAAUACAACUAUCAGUUAAUCAAAAUACACCAUUGUGCUAAUGACAUGACAAAAGGAUAAUCUCAUCUUAAACCGUACAUAGUAUAAAAGAAAGAGGCUCACUUAAUAGUCGCGUCAGAUUUCUUAUGUUGAGGAUGCAGAAACAAGUUGAGAUCACAAAGGAUACAGGAACAUGAGAAACAAUAUUUCAGUUUGAUACAUAAUAGGAAGGUCAAAGGGAGUCUCAAUCGGUCUUUUCUAGGAUUCCUUAUCACGCCACACAUAGAGUUGGGCAAAGGGGUCCAUUGCUGUAAUAAACCACAUGAUGUUCAACUAAAUAUACUCCCUCCGUCCACGAAACAUCUCCCUAUUUUUCCAUUUUCGUCCAUCCAUGAAACAUCUUCCUAGUUCCAUCUUUGAAAAUAAUUCCAUUAUCACCCUUACAAUUCUGGUUUUCCUGAUUCGAAAUAUCAUGGGUGCACAAUAAUACAUAAGAUGAUGAUGUCUAAACAAAAAUAAAUAAAAGUACUCGUCCAAAAAGAGUAAAUAAUAUUAUGUUAUAUACUCCCUCCGUCCACAAAAUGAGUACCCAUUUGUGGACGGCACGGGUUUUAAGAAAUGUAUGGAGUGUAGUGUUAAUAGUUUAAGGGUCCCACUUUUUGAAUGUAUUAAUUAAAGAGAUGUGUGUGGUACACUUGCCAAAAAGGGAAAUGGGUACUCAUUUCGUGGACGGACGAAAAAAGAAAUAUGAGUACUCAUUUCGUGGACGGAGGGAGUACAUCACAAAAGACCAACUCAAGAAGGGGGGUGGGAAGUUCAAAGAGGCAGACAGCUGACCUUCUUAUCGAGAUCAAUCGCUUGGCUACAAUCUGCUUCAGCUUGGAUGUAACUGGAAAAAAAAAUUAACAUAAACCUCUAAGAAGAAUAAAUAAAUCAAAAUGCCCAGUUCCACUCAACUACCUUCCAAUCUCCAAGUAAGCUGCGGCUCUGUUACUAAAAUAAGUUGCAUUAGUACUAUUGAGCUUGAUGGCUUCUGUAUAAAAUCCAAUAGCCCUCUGCCAUUGUUUAUCUUUAAAUGCUUGGUUGCCCUAAGAUAAGAGAAAAAUAACAUGAUGUCAGAUUGCUUUUGAAAAUAAGCCAGAUGUAUAAGCAAGACAUUUUAAUUUUAUUCUUUGCCAACCUACAGAAACCAAACGGAACCGGAAGAAAAUAAAAGAAGACUCCCAAUCCACUUUGACAAGAGAGCAAAUUUAUGGAUGACCGUUCGCCACAGUUGGGUUCCAGUUGGAACCAACACCAGCUAGGACUCAUUCAGUAAACCAGAGAAACAUCUGUAGUUUAAAUAAAUACAGAAACUGUCCCUUCAGGGACAUCCAAGCAGUGUGAAGUCCCUCUGUGUUAACAGAGAGGUAUAGGGUGCAAACCCCACCGUCCCCCCAUCUCCCAACUCCAAAAAUAAAGAAAUAAAGAAAAGAGAACUAUCUUCUCAAGACUUUGGAAGGUCAGAUAAGAAAAGUCUCAUCAACUUAUCAAAAUACCCAAGGAGGACCUCAAAUUCAUAAACAAUCUGUAGAGGCAGUUAACGCCAGCAUCGGAAAAGAUAUGCCUAUUUAGAAUCUACCUUUUCUUUGGCGACAUCAGCAGACUCUUCAUUUGUCAUAGCUUUAGUAGAUACUUUAGGCUUUGAAGCUGUAUCAAGCUGUUCCUGUAAAGAUGUAUACAUAGACUGCAGUGUAUCUAGCAGAAACCUAUCACCCCCAUGUCUGGCAAGAAGUGACAAAGAAAACGGACACUUUUCGUGGACUCCCAGUGGUACUGCAACCUAAAAUGACAACAGAAACUCAAUGCGACAAGAUUUAUAUGCAUGCCAAAUUUACAAGUGCCUAUGCAAGAGAUAGGAAUAUUAACCUGACAACAGCCUGACAUACUAGCUAAACUUGACAGGGUAGUCGCCUGAAUCAAAUAUUCCUUAGAAAAGUUCUCCUUGGCUUCAAGUUUUGGAGGAGGACCAGGGGCAGUAGGAAUAACUAAUAUUCCGUCAUCCUGUUUAGACAGUAUUUUUUCAGGCAACAAGCAUCAGUCGGACAGUGGCGCAAGCAGAGAUGUGAUAAGUAUCAAUAUGACAACACUUAUCUUGGAAAGUUAUUGACUAGCAAAAGGAUCUCUAGAUUGUAUCAUAACAGCAAGAUACUUGUCAUUUGAAAUAAGCAAACAUAGUGGCAAAAACGGUUUCGUAGUUACAUUUUUAUUAUCCUAAAGCAAGCUCUCGAAACUUCAAUCUAGUAACAGAUGAACAAACUUAAGCAAUGGAACAAAGUAUGCCGAAACUGAAAUAAAUGGGAUCCUAAUAUCAUACAUAUAUUAUCUUUGGGAUUAACCAAAUAAAAUGACCAAAUCCACCAGCAGCAAAGGUUCGACGACGUACAGUUUUAUAAGUAGGUGAAGCAUGUGUCAGUCCUAAAGAAUAACAUCUUUCAACCAAAUGCAAUAUGACAUCACAUAUCAAAAUAACUAUGCAUAAAAAGGUUAGCUAGCAUUAUAGGGCGGCGGCAAAUAGAAAAUUGAUGGGAUAAAAAUUCGAUAUGUUCUAAUAGAGAGCUAGCGCGUUUUUACAGAGUAUGAAGACGUAAAAAUUAGUUUUUGUGCUGACUGCUGAUACAUUUUUGUUUAUUUGUAACAACUUAAUAUUGUAUUAUUGACUAUAUCUACAGAAAAUUAAGCAUGUGUAAGAGAUUGGUUCAAAUAGCCACAUAAAGCAGCAAACAAAGGAAGAGAAACAAAAGAGUAUUAAGGAAUUGUUCUGCAGUAUUCAAGUUGCAGCUAGAAAUAUUAACUGAUGAUCACCACUAAAGUUAUACAAUUUGAGACUAGAAAUAUCUUAACUCAGUACCUUUAAAAGGGCGUUUAUAGCAGAACGCAAUUCACUCCUGAUUGUGCGACAUUUUUCAAUGUCUGCAUCAGUUAAAUCCAAUGUUUCUCGUAAUUGUGCUGAGAUAACAGGAUCUAGUGUAGGCUUUACCGAGUUGAUCCAUUCGUGGUGAUUUUGCCUGAACUCAUAACUGCAUAUAAACAGGAAAGAAGUAUUUUAUUCAAGCCAAAUGGAGGAUUUCCAGAAUUGGUCCCUGUAGUAUCAAACAUAUGUAAACCAAAUAAUGCAAACUUCACGACUUCCAUAAUAAUUAAGGAGAAUAUGGAGCAUAGCAGCAACAAGGCCAACAAAUUAAAGACUUUCUGACUUUUCAGUGAUAAUAAAUUAAAACGCACAAUAACUACAGAAAUUAGAGCACAGAAAAGGCAAAAGGUGAGAAUAAAAGGACAUAAAGCACAGAAAAACACACUAAAAUAAAAAACCUUGAUUAUCUUAAAGCAUUCUUUUCAAUUUUAACCUGCAAUCGCUACAAUGGGGAAAGGCAGUAACUGUCCCUUUAAUGGAAACCAAAGUCUACGUUAGUUCCUAGUUUGACAACCUUCACUUUUCCUUUCUCAUCACACAGUUGUUACCAGCUCAUAUUCACAUAAUCACUAUCUCACUUUUCUUCAGUUCUCUGUGUUAUCUUGCCUACACUGUCUUUGGCAUUAUAUAGAAACUUUUGGAAUGCAUGAUGCAUCAAUCAAAUACCAACCUAACUGCUUCAUGCACUAAUAAUCCCAACACCUAGAACAAGGACACCAUGGAGUAAAUUAUAAGCAUCCAUUUGAAAAGAAGAUCUUACAGAUUAUAGCAUAAAAGAUGUACUACAUAAUCUUAGCGUAGUGCACCAAGCCAGGUUGCCAAAAAAUCUCUUUGUCAGUUUGAAAAUGUCAACACCCAUCCACCUACCAUACCCUGUAGAGUAACUAUGUGACCAAGGCUCCACAAACUAUAAACCUUGCAAAUAAGAUUUCUGAGAAAAGCUUAAAGCCUUAAACUAGAAAAAACAUCAUACAAAACUGGUACAGACAACUCCAUUUGUCCAUGCAUUCAAAUGAUGUUAUCGAACCCAUAUCCAAAGCUAGGUAAAAAUAUUUAAAUUUAAAGGAACUUUAUUAGAAAACAAAAGCAAUAUAUGCAUCAUGGACCAAAAGGUCUACGUGAAACAAAACUGAAAUAAAUAAUCUAAAAGAAGAAAUAUUUUCAGUAGUAAUAACUGAAACAUAUUAAUUCAAGGUAAUACUAUCUCUUUGCUACCUAUAACCUCACCUCUUAAUUAUCUGCAUGGCAUUUGCUAGCAUUCUUAAUGGAGAAGAUUUCCCAUCGCCAUUUGCUUGAAUGACACUGAAUGUUUUUAAGCUUGGAACCUUCGAUUUUAUAUAAUCACUUAGCUUUUCAUGCCUCAGAACUUGUCCUGAAAGGUGAGCCUAAUAAGUAAUCUAGGAUAACCAACAAAAACUAAUUACUAAAAGAAUUUGAAUGAAAAAUCUUUACAACGAUUGUUAAGAGGAAAAGAACAUACUUCCAUAAAGUUUCUCGAUGGAUUUUAUCACCACCUGAGUCCGGUCUGCAGGAACCUUUGUUAACUGAAAACAGUCAUCGGCAAUGACAAAAGUCCUUGGAUUGCGUUGUGCAGCAUAUGGGACCUGCAGCAGCACAUGACCAACACGACGAAGUACGCUAGGAUCCUUUGCAAACCAUCCUACACGAAAUAAAUUGAGACACUUAAGAGGCUAGACAAUCUCUUUCCUUAUGUUCUAAAUUUGCAGAUACAUGAGAAGAACUCUCAUGUCAGAAUGCAAACUCUGUCCUGAAUUAAAUCCCAGGCUUGCAGUCCAUGUGUUUUACCAUAUCAACAAUAAUAGAAGUCAAAAUUUUAUAACAUGAGCCCCGCAGAAGUAAUGCUUUUCAAAGAAAGAAACUCUAAUGCUCACAACUCAAACUCUCCGUCCUUAAGUAAGUCCUAUACUUUCAACCUUACCAUAUUGACAAUAAUAGAAGUCAAAAUUUUGUAUGAGAUUCCAGAAGUAAUGCUCUUCAAUGAAAAGAACCAAUAAUAUUAUCAAUAUAUUUUAUUCAGAAAUCGACACUUUCCAACAAUAUGAACGAUAAACAUUUAGCACACCACUACAUUCAAAGUGCAAACAACUUCACCAGCAGGAAAUAGUUCUCACAAACUUCACAUCAUAUGCCAAUGCCACUACAUUAAAGUGUUGGAGAAGAAUAACAAAGUGCAGUUUUACAUAUCAUGUCAAUUACACCAACCCCAUAAGAGAAGUCGCUUCCAAGAAUUUUGCUACCAGCCUAGCAUUCAAACUAAGUCACUUAAAUAUUCAAAAGAGAAGGACAAGGACAUCACUUCAAAGAUGUAUAAAAGGAAAACUUUCAAAAUAGCUAAACUCUAAAUGCUUGGUGUCUGGGUAAGACAAUGAAUACAUACCUACUGUGUCAAGACUUUCUGAAACAGUAAUAACCCCAGAAAGGGAGACAGUCCCAUGAGAUGGUCGAAAGCCAAGUACAGCACAGUUUCCAGCAGGUAACCGCACACCACCAUCAGUAUCUAUGCCUGUUAUAUUUCGAAAGUUAAAUAUGCAUAUGAUUCUGACAGAGACAUUUUUACACAACAUUCAAACAGUACAUGAGGAGUCAAGCUUACCACAAGAAUAAUAUAUGACAUCGAAAUCAUAUGUAUUUGUGAUAGACUAUCAUACAUAAACAGUAAUGAGCCACAACAAAACACAUCUAAUCUCACUGCUCGAAGAAUUAGCCCAUCAAAACUUUUUUACGGCAUCCCGAUUCCCGAGAAAUGACAGCAUAAUUACACCUCUCACAGAAGAAAAGCAACAGUGUAGUGCUGAAAUCCAAAGUUCAAAUUUAAAUUAUCCAUACAUAAUAACCUUUCGUGCUUAGCAAGGGAUCUUAAUCCCACUCACAGAACGAAUUCCUGAUAAUUUCUUGAAAAUACUCGGAUUUUAAUUAAAUUUUUAUGGUACUGAAUGAAGUUACUGAUAUAUUUAAUACAAAUUCCAUACAAGCAAAAACUUCUUAUUCUAUUAGCGGGGAUUGUGUCAAACUUUAGAUGGCCAAGGAACAAAAUCCAAUAUCAUUAAUCAUAAAACGAAUUUCAACCUGUCUGGUUUCAAGAGAAAAACCAUGCUAGCAGCAUUUUAGUCUAAUGAAAAAUUUCAUGGACACAAAAAUCAAGGAAAGGUCAAUUUUAAUACUGGGACUACAAAAAGCACUCAAACAAGACGUGACUAAACUUUCAUCUCUAAAUGGUAUAUUUCAACAAUAUAUAUAAACAAGACUAACGUACAUGUCCACCUGCAUACUAAAGGGGAAGCCAAGAAAGAACUUUUAAUGGAAUGAACUAUCAUCUCACCCAAUGAAAACUCAACAAGUUUAGCAGCAACAGCGACAGCAGCACCACUCGAAGCUCCACCUGGUACUCGUGCAGGUGCAGCAGGAUUUGUUGGUGUAUCAUAAUGCUUGUUUUCCCCACUUACACUAUUGAACAGAAGAGGAAACAAGAUAUCAAAGGAAAUAAAAGUAGUAAUAAAUUGUAGUACUAUCUUAAUAGAAUAAGGGUGACGAACAAACCCUAACGCCAUGUCAUCCACGACAGUUUUCCCAACACAUGUAGCACCUCCAUCAACAAGGGCUGCAACCACAGGACAUGUCCGAGUUGCAGGUUCAUGAUCGCUGGACCAGUCUGGGUUGCCAAACCCAGUAACAAAUCCUUCAAUGUUAAAUCUGAAAAUCAAGAUAAAAAAAUUUAAUUUCUGGGCUUACUAUAUCAUAUUCAAUCCAAAUAAUUCUUAGGUUAUCAUCAGCCACCAAACUCUUCUGAAAUAAGCUCACGCAUUAAAUAAUCAAAUCCCCAUGCACAUGUCUUACAUUCAAGCUCCCACCUAAAAUUUUGCAAGAGAAAGGAAACAAACCACAAACAACAUUCAAACUAUAAUCGCGGUAAUCUUCAAACGAAACGACACCCUCUUUACAAUGCAUUUAUUUCCAAAUACACACUAGUUUUGCUAGUUAUAAAUUCCCUAUUAUUUCAAGUCACUUCCCACUAACAACCUUAAACCAAAUGACCAAAACAACGCCAUUCAAAUAGAAGCAACAUAGACAUAUAUGUUCCUAUGUGUGUGAGUACUUCAGAGAGCUCACCAACACCAAAAAGGUAAGUUGCAGUAUUACCCAAAUCAUCACUAACUAAACACCACAAAUCAUCCCAACUUCUGCAAAUAAAAAAUACAAAACAAAACCACGGUGAACUAAACUAAAGACGCUCACACAUCAGAAACCGCAAAAGAUAGGCCAGUAAGAGGGUGAGGAGCUUUGGGAGGGGCGGGCUGCGGCGGCGGCAACAGCUGCAACCGCUCUAUAAACGCUCCGAAAUCAGCCCUCACCGCCCGCUUCAGCUUCUUCGUCAUAAUCAAUAUCCCCGCAAUCCCAAGCCCUAAUAAAACCCACAAAUUCGCUGAUGAAGACGCCAUUUUUGCAGGAUUUUCAAGAAUUCAGCCGUUCAGCUGAUCAAUUGCUAUUGUAUGUUGUGAUAGCCCACCGAAAUAAAUAAUUAGAUUAGAUAGUUGAGCGAGGAUGUAGGAGAAAACCUAGGCGAGAGUCCGAAUUUUGGGGUGUUUGAGACUUUGAGGUGAGAAUUUUGCAUUGGGGUUUAUCAAGAUUUUUAUGUUUUUAUAAUUUUAGGGAAAAUAACUCUUCACUCCCAUUUUAUCUUUUUAGCUAUUCACCCCAGAAUACCAUAUUCGCGUUAUAACUUUUUAAAUUCCCGGUUUAUAAUAUACCAUAUCCGAUAAUAAAAAUCCUACGAUUUUAAACUUAUUUAUUUACCAAAAAUUGUGAUAUCAAACUAUUUGAAUUAUGUAGAAGUGAAAAUUUAUGUCAACAUAAUUUAUUUUGGACAAAUUCUAUCAACAUUCUUCCUCGUCGAAUUCUGACACUGCUUCUAUGUUCCUCAAGUGGUUGGUCAAGUGUUUUAUGUAAACAUGUCUUCUUCUUUUUUUUCUUUUUUUGAGAAGUUAUGUAAACAUGUCUAAAAACUAUGGGUGUCGCUCGUUGUGAUAUCUAUUUCAUUGUUUGAGGUCAUGUUUGUUAAUCUUCCUUGUCUUGAGAAGUUGAUCUAACAGUUGAGUUGAUAAAUUUAUUAUGAGAAAAUGAGGGACAACAUCAAAUAUGUAUCUCUUUUAUAUAUUUUCAACAAAUCUUCUUAUCAGGUGGAUGGGAUCCUUUGUUCUAUAAUUUAUUACGUUCCACCGUGUUUCAUUUCUAAUUUGUUAGUUUUUACUUUUUUUUCUUCAAUUUUAGUCUAUUACUCCCUUCGUCCAUAUAGUAAUGUCCCAUUUUUCUUAAUGGGACGUCUCAAUACAAAUGUCUCAUUCAUUUUUUGCAAUAUAUUAUCUCUCUACAUCUAAUAUUUAAAUAAUUUCGAUCAAUUCACUUUUUCUACUUUUUACACAUUUCUUAAUCUCCGUGCCCAAAAGUUAUGAGACACUACUAUUGGGACGGAGGGAGUAUAUUUUUAAGAUAAUUUACUAAAGUUCACUCAUCCAAUUAGUGCUUAUUAAUUUUUUUUUUUUAAUUUGGUUUGAUAAUUGAUUAUUUGGGUUAACUCCCUCCGUCUCAGCGAAGGUGAGGCGUUUCCUUUAAUUUAUUCCAAAGGAAAACAAUUCAACUUCGUUAGGACGGCUCGAAAAGGAAUACGACUCAACUUCGUUGGGACCUGUCCUCAUAAAAAGUAUCCACUUUUAAAUCGCACGAGUUUUAAUAAAGUGAUUAAAUGUGUUGUAAGUGAAGUAAGGGGUCACACUUUAUUGUGAGUGAACAUUUUAUAAAAAAUAGGUUAGAUACAUUUUAUGAGGACAGAUGAAAAUAUUAAAUUGAAUAUAUUUUAUGAGAACGAAAGAAAUAAUAAUUUAUGUUAUUAAAAAUAAAAUAUGAUAAAAUAUAAUAAGUUGUGGAAAUUAUGAGACAUGUGUUACAACGGGGUACACGAUCGAGUAAACUUUUACAACUCAAACUAAAACAAUCGAAGCUAGAAACUGAACUAAGAAAAUAAACAAAUUAGAAGUAACAAGGAAGCUAGAACGGAAUUACAACGAAAUAAAACAAACGUGAUAAAAGGCGUCGAGUCGAGGUGAAACUCUUCCCGCAAGAAGAUUAUCGCCCCGGUAGUGCUCACGGUGUUGGCGAAUCUUCCCCAAAGGUAAAACGACGACGUCUCGUUGGAUGUAGCACCACAAUCCGGCGAGCUCCGGCGAACAGAAUAGGAUCAAGAACUGAGCAAUAUGAAGUGAGAGUAAGUGAGGAAGUGCAGAUUUUCGUAGAGGUGCAAUGUCAUGCUUCUAGUCUUCUAUUUAUAGGCAUCUCACCACUCAUGAGGGAGAUUAAAUCCUCCAUGAAGAGGAUUAAAACCAAGAAACUGUUAUGCAUGUUACAAAUUCAAAACCAUUUGAAUUUGUUGUUACAAAUUGAUUAUGCAUCAAUGGCAAAAAUCAAAUCUAUGCAGUUUUCGAAAAUUGCUAGAAACUGUUAUGCUUCACUGCAGACAUAAGGCUGGAAGAUUGGGCUUCGCGGUUGGGCUGUUACAAAAUACAAACGGGCCAAAAAUAAUAAGUACAACAAGCCCAAAGGUAUUUUGUCCAAAAAAUUAUAUAGUUUAGACCCAAACACCAAUUGCCAAGAUCCAAGUCCUUGGCCGUGGCCCGGACCGCGGCGACGUCAUCGUCCAUCCGAUCGAUCGUCGCCGGCGGCGCGCGAGGCCAAGGCCUUCAUCCAAGCCCACUAGCAAGCCCACAAGUUAUUAGCUCCAUUAGCAUUGCUAUUCUUAUACAAGAGUAUUCUUCCCUUGUUUUCCAAUGUGGGACAAUAGCACUUCACAAGUGUUAUUUCCCUUCUCAACAUCCAAACUUUGAUAUACAAUAUCUCACUCACCGGAAAUCGGUUUUGAGACUUCAAGUAUACCACGUUCAUCUACUCGAGACGUAGAUUAACAUCCAAUAAUUAUUUCAAUUAAAUAAUAAAUAUUUAAUUAAAUAAUUAAUUUCAAAAAUAGUCUAAAAACCAUAUUUCCAACAACAUGUGAUCUCAAUCCGUUCACCCGGAUCACCCCGGUUACAUUCUCUAACUAAACUCCAUUUUGUUUUGGAUGUUCAUGUUAAUGCCCAUUAGCUCAAUGUAAUUAAUUUGUUGCCAGUUUUCAUAAUAUUAUAAUAUUGCUAAAAGUUAUUCAUGUGGUGUGAUGCAUGGGUUUUUAAUCAGGCUUUAUUAAUAUUAAUAUGGGAUCCUUGUUUAGAAAAAUAUUUCAAUUAUAAUAAUCUGAAAAAGGUUCGCGAGCAAUGAAAGAUGAAUCUAACUAACUAAUAUAACGUAAAAAUUAACAUCAAUUCUUUUUCUCUUUUUCUUCAUAUUGGAUAUUGCCCCUAAACAGAUAUAGUAGGGAAUAUAAUAUAUAGGAUGACAAUAUACAUGAAUGUAGCCCACUUAUUAAUUAGAAAUGGAAAAGAAAGAAAGGAAAACAACAACAAUAUCGAAGAGAAGUAGAAUUACUACUCAAAGUAAGUGAUAUUGUUGAAUUAUUGGAGAAGAUAAAGGAUAGUCUUAUUAGUUGAUUGUAGGGCAAGGUCAUAUAGGCUGGGCUAAAGCAACCAACGGGCACUUCAUCUCGCAGGAGAGCUUGAGAAGCUCGUCGAGAUUGACCGGAUUGGUCUUGUCCUCUGCCCACUCGAACCGCUGAACCAGCUUGGCCACCCAGAGCUCCACCGUAGCCAUCCCUAAAUUCUUCCCCGGGCAAACCCUUCGCCCGGCACCGAACGGCGCAAGCCUCAAAUCACGGCCGCGGACGUCCACAUCCUCUCCGCCCAUCUCCGUAACGAACCUCUCCGGCUUAAACUCGAGCGGCUCGGCCCACACGGCCGGGUCGUGGGUGAUGGCCCACAUGUUGACCAUAGCGGUAGUUUGGGUGGGGACCACCAUCCCGUUGGUGAGAGUGACGUCAGACGUAGAGAGACGGGCCCACGACAAGAGCGGGCCCGGUGGAUGCAACCUGAGCGUCUCCUUGACCACGGCCUGUAAGUAGGGCAGCCUUGCCAUGUCAGCAUCCGUGACGUUGCGGGUCCCAACGACGUGGUCUAGUUCUUGACGCAUCUUGGAUUGUACCUCGGGGUGCAACACCAGCUCAGCCAUAAUCCACUCAGUCAGCAACGCGGUUGUGUCCGUUCCUCUGAAUAUCAUUUCCUGCAUGCAAGUAUGUACGUGAGAAUAAGAAAAGAUGGAAUACAUAAACUUUCACACUUUUUGGAAUUUCUCACAAAAGUCAACUCCGAUGAAAUUGAAUCUGACGUGGCAUUGGAUUCUCAUGACUUGGAUGAUAUAUGUGGUGUUAAAUACUCUAAAACUUGGAUAUAGUUCAAUUAUUGUGAAAUAAAUUGUACCAAAAUAAAUCUUUAAGAUAUUCCACGUCAGCAGAAUCUGGCACCACGUCACGUCUGAUUCAAUUUCAUCUGAGUUGACUUUAAUUCCAGAAAGUAUGGAAGUUUGUGUAUUUAGAAAGAAAAAAAAUUAUUUUGGAAAAAACCAGAAAUUGUGUAAAGUUUGUGGAUUUAAAACAAAUUAACCCUAAAAUUUAUAAUCUACAUAAACAACAUACCCACAAAACCGCGAUCAUGUCAUCCUGGUUGAGCUUCUCCUCACCGUCCAAAGAGAGCAAAACAUCGACGAAAUCAGCAGCAUCGAUAGAAACUCCAUUUUUCUGAUUCUUGAGCUGGUGCUCGUGGAUGAUGCCAGAGACAAGCUUCCUCACUCGGGGCACGAGGGCUUGGCAGCGAGCAACGAUACGAGAAGGAUCGUAAAAGUAUGACAACCAUGGGAGAUAAUCAGACCAGUUGAAGGCACCCAGAAGAUUGAACCCUUCUUCCACCAUUUGUUUAAGCUCCCUCAACUCCUCACCCUCUUCCGUGGGGUCGUAUCGUUUCCCAAAUACACUGCCCAUGAUGUUGUUCAAAGCCGCAGCUUGCAGGUGCUUCCUCAAACUCACGGCUCCCUUAAGCUUCUGCUCUUUCUCUAUGUUAUGUAGCAUCGUGUCGCAAUCCUGCUGGCGGCCCUGUUCGUGCGCCGCAACGCGUCGAGGUGCAAACAGGUGGGAUGCGGCGAUGCGGCGAAGGAGGCGCCAGUAGGUGCCGUUGGGAGCGAAGCCGAUGGCGCGGCUGAACAUGAGGCUGCGAGCCGACUGCUUGAUCGGGCGGUCCGCGAAGUUGGGAGAUGUUAGGAUCUCUUUAGCCACCUGAGGCAGGAACAGACCCAGGAAUUUAAUAAUGACCGGGCGAGAUUUCACCAAAUGAUUCUAAUAAAAUUUUAGUAAAGAAAACGAGUUGAAUUUUGGAAUAAUUAUUUGAAACUACACAAUCAUGACCAGGCGAGAUUAACAUAUAUAGAUAAAAAGAAAAUUAUAUCAUAUAAAUAUAUAUAUAAAUAUAUAGGUAAUAAAAAAAAUUGACCAGGCGACGGCCGAGGGUGCCUGGCCUUUAAAUCUGUCCCUUACCUGAGGGUCGGACGCCACCACAACCGGUGUGGAGCCUAAGCUGAAAGCCAUGAGCUGCUUGGCAUUGUGGACCUUAGCCAUAGCGGCUAAGGAGCGGUGAGCCAAGCCGCGACUAAGAGUGAAGAGGCUCCCGAAAAUAGGGAGCCCCCGUGGGCCACGGAUGGUGAUGCUGCCGUUACUAUUCCGGCCAUUCUUCCAUGCAGUUCCGCCUUGGGAGAAAAACCAUGUGAAGAGAGCAAUAGAGGUGAAAGAUAAGAGAAUUGCGACGAUUGCAUAUUCAUCAAGGAGAGUCUUGG